rnacentral:rRNA from 1 species
CCUGGUUGAUCCUGCCAGUAGUCAUAUGCUUGUCUCAAAGAUUAAGCCAUGCAUGUCUAAGUAUAAAUAGUAUACAGUGAAACUGCGAAUGGCUCAUUAAAACAGUUAUAGUUUAUUUGAUAAUUGAAGGUUACAUGGAUAACCGUGGUAAUUCUAGAGCUAAUACAUACGUUCAAGCCCGACUUUUUGGAAGGGUUGUAUUUAUUAGACUAAAGCCAAUAUUCCUUCGGGUCUAUUGAGAUGAUUCAUAAUAACUGGUCGAAUCUCACUGGUUGAGAUAAAUCAUUCAAGUUUCUGCCCUAUCAGCUUUCGAUGGUAGUGUAUUGGACUACCAUGGCAGUAACGGGUAACGAAGAAUUAGGGUUCGGUUUCGGAGAGGGAGCAUGAGAAACGGCUACCACAUCUAAGGAAGGCAGCAGGCGCGUAAAUUACCCAAUCCUGACUCAGGGAGGUAGUGACAAGAAAUAGCAAACUGGGAGCCUCACGGUUUCACAGUAUUGCAAUGAGAACAAUUUAAAACACUUAGCGAGGAACAAGUGGAGGACAAGUCUGGUGCCAGCACCCGCGGUAAUUCCAGCUCCACAAGCGUAUAUUAAAGUUGUUGCAGUUAAAAAGCUCGUAGUUGAACUUCUGUGUGUGUUUAGUUCGGUUCGCGCCGGGCUAAGCGCAUGCAUCCGUUUGCAAGACCUGGAAGGUAUUCAUUUAUCUCCAGGAGGAGCAGACUUUUUACUUUGAAAAAAUUAGAGUGUUUAAGGCAGGCAAUAGCCCGCAUAUAUUAGCAUGGAAUAAUAGAAUAGGACA